rfam:Orchesella cincta Ocin01_Sc3426, whole genome shotgun sequence.
CCAACGGCCUUUUUAAAGGCCACCAAAUAUUUCGAAUAAUGAUGAUU